rnacentral:lncRNA from 1 species
UUCGCAGCGCGUUGUUUUUUUGGAAGCGGGUAUAAAUUAGAGCGUAGUUCAACAACACGCCCGACACCUCCACCACGCCCUACUAAUCCACCCCAAUAUCGCAAUGGGCAUGGGUGAACGGUACCAUUCAUGGUGGAUCUAAAUACCAGCACCGAUGCAGAACUCCACGAAAUACUACACAGUGCAGCCCUGCUCAGCACAGCAUGAAUAAAGUAUAAAUAUUGUU